rnacentral:rRNA from 1 species
AUUGAACGCUGGCGGCAGGCCUAACACAUGCAAGUCGAACGAGUGGCGGACGUGUGAGUAAUGUCUGGGAAACUGCCCGAUGGAGGGGGAUAACUACUGGAAACGGUAGCUAAUACCGCAUACCAUCGGAUGUGCCCAGAUGGGAUUAGCGAGUAGGUGGGGGAACGGCUCACCUAUGCGACGAUCCCUAGCUGGUCUGAGAGGAUGACCAGCCACACUGGAACUGAGACACGGUCCAGACGCAUACGGGAGGCAGAAGUGGGGAAUAUUGCACAAUGGGCGCAAGCCUGAUGCAGCCAUGCCGCGUGUAUGAAGAAGGCCUGCGGGUUGUAAAGUACUUUCAGCGAGGAGGCGUUACUCGCAGAAGAAGCACCGGCUAACUCCGUGCCAGCAGCCGCGGUAAUAC